UGAGGAAUAUUGCGCAAUGGGGGCAACCCUGACGCAGCAACGCCGCGUGAGUGAGGAAGGUUUUCGGAUUGUAAAGCUCUGUCGAGCGGAAAGAAAUGCAUUAUGGCUAAUAUCCAUAAUGCUUGACGGUACCGCUAAAGGAAGCACCGGCUAACUCCGUGCCAGCAGCCGCGGUAAAACGGGGGGUGAAAGCGUUGUUCGGAAUCAUUGGGCGUAAAGAGCGUGUUGUCGGCUUAACAAGACAGAUGUGAAAUCCCUGGGCUUAACCCAGGAUGUGCAUUGUAAACUGUUUGGCUUGAGUAAGGGAGAGGAAAGUGGAAUUCCUGGUGUAGAGGUGAAUUUCGUAGAUAUCAGGAGGAACACCGGUGGCGAAGGCGACUUUCUGGCCCUAUACUGACGCUGAGACGCGAAAGCGUGGGUAGCAAACA
rnacentral:rRNA from 1 species